rnacentral:lncRNA from 1 species
CCAGAACGAGGGAAAAUAGGAUAACACUGAAAGGAAAUCCUCAUCUUCGUGUUCAGGAUCUGGAGCAGCCCUUUCCCUCGUGUCCGGUUGAUUAAUCCAUGAAGUUGCGCCAGAGACAUUUUCAAUUUAGUAGCCAAUCGAUGUGUUAUCUCCUCUGUCUCUUCGGAUUGAUUAUUGAGUCUCACUGAGAGGAAUAGCGCUUGUGAUUGGAUAUCGACAUUGAAAAAAAAAUAACAAAACGUAUCGUGUAUUUCCAAUAAAAUAUCACGUUAGAUUACAUUUAUAGAACUAACGCGAUAGUUUAACAAAAUAACGCGAUA